GCCGUGAAAUUACGGGAUAUUCGAUGCUAAUUCCUUAAGCUUUUGUGACUCUUUAAGCACUUUUGUUGUUACUUUUGUGUUUUUAUGUUGUUUUGUAGGAAAAGAUGCCCAGAGAGCAUAACAGACCAAAAUAGAGCAAAAAUAGAACAAAUCAACAUUUCUGGCACCAUAUGCUAAUAGCACAUGCUGCAGCAUGUUGAACCCGCGAGUAGCACUUGGUGCAGCAUGUUGUGCAUGUAGGUAUUAUGGUCCAGAUUUUGUUUCCGUUUUUUGGAAUGAUAUAAAUACUCUUUUAGGGUUUGUAAUAGAUAUUUUUGGCAGUUUUUCAUCAAGUUUGGAGACUAGGUUUCUACACCACACUUUGGGUUGAAGAUUUGAAGAUUUGGUUGAGCAUUUCUUAAACCUUUAAUUCAUUUCUUCAAUUCCUUGCUUUGUAUUGAUUAUCUAAGUGUGUAGCUUUCUAUUCCAUUACUUGAAUCUUGUUUAUGAAAAUAUUCUUGAUUAAAGUUUGGUUUGAAACUCUUGUUAUGCUUAUGUAUUGAAUGAUUUUUAUUCCUAA